AAGAGUUUACUGCAGCCUUCCACAGGAAGGGAGAUUUGCACAAACUUCAGAUGCAGAGACUGAAAAAAAGAAAAAUGAGAGCAGAACAACGACAGUAAAAGACAGAGCUCGGAGGGAAAUGAAGAAUACCCCGCCAAGAGACACAGUGACCAGGACAUGACAGGGCCGUAUGACAGAAGCCACGCCCCCACGCCGACUUGGAGCUGAAAAGGGGAGCGGGGGACUGACGUAAAAGCACAAGUUCAACACGAUCACUGUGAAGCUUUUUCUGGUGACACUUUAUUGAUCCGUGAUUAAAGGAGCAAGUGUUUGGAGCCAAUCACCAAGCAUUCACAAUCAGACACGUUUUUGUUUUUUUAAUAUCGAUUUUCAAUAAAAGUGGCUGUCAGCUUCUAUUGUAGUUAAUUGCAAAAGUAAGUUUGUGUGUGUUGAGAAGGAUGCAGAUCUGUUGAGGACUUUUUGCUUCCUCUGUGUCAUCUCACCUAUUCUUUGCUGUGACCGUCGGUCUGUUGGAGUUCUAAAACGACGUUGUUAUCGCCACAUUUUCAUCAUUUCACAUUGAACUGACUAUCAAUGGAUUUUGGCAAAGGGGACCUAAAGAUUUUGUUUUUUAACAUGUUCUUGUGGACUUUUUCUCAUGAUGGAGGACAUCCAGUAUAUAAACAUAUUUCUUUACAUCACAGUUGCAGAAAAACCUAAGUUUGCCAGAAACCAACUAUCACAUUUUUAUGGGCUUAUACCAACAUGGUCUUGUUUGCAUCGGUUGUUUUUUUUUGACCGAUCCUGGUGUUACUCCCGAUUUUUCAAAAUGUAUCUUUAUCUUAGAGUAAUAAUCAGUACCCAGCGAAUGUAAAUAAAAAAGAAAAACUUGUGUUUAUAUAGAAGGAUCACUAUUGUUUCCAUCAUGUUUGUGCUGCAGCUCACUUGCACCAGCUUUCAGAAGUCUUAGUGAAAUAUUAGGGAAAGGUCGUUACAUACACGCGUGACAUCAUCUGUUCCUUAAGUGACUUUGGCAGACAUUUAAAAGGCAUUUGGAGUGUGGGCUGUCUCCUGCUCUCCUACGCCAAACCCGUGACAUUCAGAGGCCUCUGCUCAGGCUGCAUGACUGCUGGCAUCAUGACAUGUGGCUGCUGAGCACUGACUGGACUCAAUACCAAUUGGCUAACUCACUGCUUUCACAAAACAAUCAAUUUAGGUGUUUUUUUUCUCAUGUUUUUGUUUUCCUUUUCAAACUAGUAGUGGUGUUUUAUUGGAUUUGUUUUGUCAUCGUGAGCUCUUUGACAAGAAGUGGCAUUGAGCUGGGAAACCUGUUAAGGGGCGACGGCGUUAAGCAUACCAAUGGAUGCAUAUCCUUAUGUCAAAGUAUAAUCAAACCUUAAUCUGCCAAACAACUAAAUAAAAUACUCUUCAGAUGCUAGAAAGUGUUCUAAUGCAGAAUUGAGUAUAAAAGCCAUUUAAUUUAUAAUUUUAUGAAAUUAAAUAUUGUUUUUUCCUGUUAUUGUGUGUUUUAUGUUUUGUUUUUUUCACUUCUAGAAAACCUUGGGUGCCCACAAAGAUACCAUAUAAAUAAAAUGUAUUCUUAUUAUGA